rfam:Candidate division WWE3 bacterium GW2011_GWC2_44_9 TW82_C0021, whole genome shotgun sequence.
GGAGGGGUCGCAUAGUGGCCUAGUGCGUUCGCUUGGAAAGCGGAUGUCCGCCUAACGGUGGACCGCGGGUUCAAAUCCCGCCCCCUCCG